AGUGAACGCUGGCGGUAGGCCUAACACAUGCAAGUCGAACGGCAGCACAGUAAGAGCUUGCUCUUACGGGUGGCGAGUGGCGGACGGGUGAGGCAUACAUCGGAAUCUACUUUUUCGUGGGGGAUAACGUAGGGAAACUUACGCUAAUACCGCAUACGACCUACGGGUGAAAGCAGGGGAUCUUCGGACCUUGCGCGACUGAAUGAGCCGAAGUCGGAUUAGCUAGUUGGCGGGGUAAAGGCCCACCAAGGCGACGAUCCGUAGCUGGUCUGAGAGGAUGAUCAGCCACACUGGAACUGAGACACGGUCCAGACUCCUACGGGAGGCAGCAGUGGGGAAUAUUGGACAAUGGGCGCAAGCCUGAUCCAGCCAUACCGCGUGGGUGAAGAAGGCCUUCGGGUUGUAAAGCCCUUUUGUUGGGAAAGAAAAGCAGCAGGUUAAUACCCCGCUGUUCUGACGGUACCCAAAGAGUAAGCACCGGCUAACUUCGUG
rnacentral:rRNA from 1 species